AAACUCAAAGGAAUUGACGGGGACCCGCACAAGCGGUGGAUGAUGUGGAUUAAUUCGAUGCAACGCGAAAAACCUUACCUGGCCUUGACAUGUACCGAAUUUACCAGAGAUGGUUUAGUGCUCGAAAGAGAACGGUAACACAGGUGCUGCAUGGCUGUCGUCAGCUCGUGUCGUGAGAUGUUGGGUUAAGUCCCGCAACGAGCGCAACCCUUGCCAAUAAUUGCCAUCAUUUAGUUGGGCACUUUAUUGGGACUGCCGGUGACAAACCGGAGGAAGGUGGGGAUGACGUCAAGUCCUCAUGGCCCUUAUGGCCAGGGCUUCACACGUAAUACAAUGGUCGGUACAGAGGGUCGCCAACCCGCGAGGGGGAGCUAAUCCCAGAAAGCCGAUCGUAGUCCGGAUUGCAGGCUGCAACUCGCCUGCAUGAAGUCGGAAUCGCUAGUAAUCGCGGAUCAGCAUGUCGCGGUGAAUACGUUCCCGGGUCUUGUACACACCGCCCGUCACACCAUGGGAGCGGGUUUCACCAGAAGUAGGUAGCCUAACCGUAAGGAGGGCGCUUACCACGGUGGGAUUCGUGACUGGGGUGAAGUCGUAACAAGGUAGCCGUA
rnacentral:rRNA from 1 species